UACGGAGGGUGCAAGCGUUAUCCGGAUUUACUGGGUUUAAAGGGUGCGUAGGUGGGUUGGUAAGUCAGUGGUGAAAUACUUUCGCUUAACGAAGGAACUGCCAUUGAUACUACCAGUCUUGAAUACAGUGGAGGUAGGCGGAAUGCGUCAUGUAGCGGUGAAAUGCUUAGAUAUGACAUAGAACACCAAUUGCGAAGGCAGCUUACUACACAGUAAUUGACACUGAGGCACGAAAGCGUGGGGAUCAAACAGG
rnacentral:rRNA from 1 species